rnacentral:rRNA from 1 species
CUUGACAUGCCAGGGAUCCUGCAGAGAUGUGGGAGUGCUCGAAAGAGAACCUGGACACAGGUGCUGCAUGGCCGUCGUCAGCUCGUGUCGUGAGAUGUUGGGUUAAGUCCCGCAACGAGCGCAACCCUUGUCAUUAGUUGCUACGAAAGGGCACUCUAAUGAGACUGCCGGUGACAAACCGGAGGAAGGUGGGGAUGACGUCAGGUCAUCAUGGCC